UGCGUAGGCGGAAUUAUAAGUCAGAAGUGAAAGCUUAGAGCAUAACUGUAAAAUGGCUUUUGAUACUGUAAUUCUUGAAUUAGGCUGAGGUUAGCGGAAUGUGACAUGUAGCGGUGAAAUGCAUAGAUAUGUCAUAGAACACCAAUUGCGAAGGCAGCUAGCUAGACCUAUAUUGACGCUGAGGCACGAAAGCGUGGGGAGCGAACAGGAUUAGAUACCCUGGUAGUCC
rnacentral:rRNA from 1 species